GGAGUGCCAACUUACAGACUACGA
rnacentral:siRNA from 1 species